CCGGGCACGGCGACCACCGCAACGACUACGUCAUCAACGAGGCCGUGUUCGUGAUGGAUGCCCCGGCGGAAGAGGCCACCGGCUCAGUUCGCCUCAUCGCCGCCGGUCAGCAGCAGUUGUUCUCUGUAUUGGACUCGUCCGGAGGGGGUCAGUUGGACGGCGCCAGUG